rnacentral:ncRNA from 1 species
AGGAGCCGUGUAAUGGGAAACUAUUAAGCACGGUUUUGAAGACCAACGGGGUUGGUGACAACCUCGUUGAGUUUAC